AAUAGACAUUUAGGAUUCGGCCUGGGUCAAAUAGUCAAUGGAAAGGAGGUUACGUUACUACCCUUUUGGAAGGGAUAUCUUUUUCUCGUCUUCUACGUCUCCUGAAACAUAAACCAGAUCUAAAAAAUCCAAAAGAAAGCUCUUGUUUUCCAUCACUUCUGCACCCUCAGCUUUCUUGUUUUCCAUCCAUGAUUCGAUGUCAAUCUUUGCAUCAUUUACUUCGAUCUGUAACCAAUUUUUUCGAUCCAUAAGUAUUUUAUUUCUAUAAUCUCAAUUGUGAGCCAUCUUUUUCCUUGAAUUUUAAACUGUAACUUUUUAUAUUUCGUCUUGUAACAGUAGAAAAAAGAUGGAAACCCAUUUUUUUUCAUCAUCAGUAAAGAAGAGUAAAACAGGAAUCAACCGUGAAGACGUUUUGAAUCCCCUUUUAUUUCAUCAUUGUCGGUGGAUUUUUCUGUGGUACGAAACAUGAAGUGAAAUCCCUAUUUUUUUUUUAGUAUCAGUUUUCUGGUGGUAUUUGGUUUGAUUUAGUGGUGGUGAUAUUCAGUUUUUGGCUGUAAGAAUCAAAGAAGAUGAACUUGAGAUGUGAUCGAUGGAUGGGUUUGUUUUAGAGAAGAGAAGAAAUUGCAAUCGAACGAUGAAGAAGAUGGUUCCAUGUUGAAUCUGGUGAUGAUAGAUUUUGUUGAUUCGUCUUCUUCUUUGACGAGAUAAAGAGGAGGACAAGAAACUUGUAAUAUUGAAGAGUUCAAAUGCUGUGAACCCUCUAGUACAAGGAGAAUAUUACACCGUCAGUAUAAAUUCAACUACAAUGUAUUUCAUUUCUAUAGAAAUCAUGUCCAUGUUUGUCAGCUAGCACUCGGUUCUUUUGGUGCCUGUUUAACAAAAAGUAGUUCCUGUUGCUAUUUUUGUGAUCAUAUGUAUCGGAAAAAGGCCAAGGUCUGUUUGUGGAGUUUCAUGUUUCAAGUGAAGUGAGAAACCAAAAUUCCUUUCAAUUGAGCAACCAGGGCUGCUCGAUUGAAACCUGGGAGAUUAAUACCUUCAUCAGUUCUUAAAGGUGUUAAAGGCUUAGCCAUUUUGACUGAAGUUGUUGAUAGCACUUGGCCUGGCAGAGAAGGUAGUGAACUGCACGUGGUCUUGUAACUGCUUACAGGGAAGCUGGAAGAAUUUUUCAGUUACAGUGGUUGAAUGUUGUACAAGCUCUGUUUUACGUACUCUGUAUUUUGUUGUACAAGCUCUGUUUUGCUCUGUUUUUUGCUCUGUUUUAAUACUCUGUUUUGCUUGCAAUUAACUCGUAAACAGAGCAAAACAUAGCAAAUUAAUUCUGUUUUUUUUUUGUUGUUGUUGUACUCUGUUUUUUUUAUAGAUUUCUAUGUUCUUCUCCAA